AUAACUAGAUUAAGCAAUGAGUCUAACAGCAAAUCACCAGAAUUUCAAAAUAGUGAUAGAGGUGAUAAGUCAAGACAAAGGCAGUGCCUGUAAGUUAAAUGGAAACAUCUGUGAAUUCUAUUCACAAAGUCAUAGGCGUUGCUGAUCCCACUCCAGUCUGUUGCCCAUGUUCAUAAUGGGAGGGAGUGCUCCAUCUCAGCUGUGUUUGCAAAACCAAAGAUGUAAACUUUCCCCCCUCAAGUUCAUGAAACCCUGAAUUCUUUCCAAGGAUGCUUGGGAUGUACAAAUCCCCCCACUAAAAGGCUUAUUUUUCUCAUGUGGAAUAUGUUCUGGAAGUUGCAGUCCAGGGCUUGUGUAUCUGCUCAAGGAAGCAUCAAGGGCUCAGACUUCUGCUUCUUGCUCUGAUGUCCUGAACAUGUGACUUUGCCCCUAAGGUGCAAAGUGGCCGCAGCAUCUCCAGGCACUGCAUCUGCAUUUCAGUUAAGAAGAAGAGGGAAGAGGAAGAGAAAAAAGACUGGGACACUGAGGCUCAGUGGGCGUAAAUGACAGACUCAGUAGCAUACGGUGCGUUUGAGCCCUGGUCUGUCUCAUUCCCACGCCCCUGACUCAAGCAGCCUGAGGCCCGGGCCGGUCUGGCCCUCCCAGCCGGGCUGCCGCAGAGGAUGCAGACGAGCCCUCUCCAGACGGGCCUCCGACUCGGAAGACCGUGGGCUGCCGGCGGGUCGGGAGACGUCAGAAACCAGGGAAAGAGCGUGGGAAAGGCGCGCUGUUGGGAGUUCACGGGCUCCGGGGCGCUGCGGCCAGCCUCUGCCGCGCUUCCACCCCGGUGCUGGGCCGCCGCCCGCCGCCCGGGCCCCGCCGCUCCGCCCUCUGCGAAGACACGGAAGCGCCCUGGGCCGCAGGGCACGGAGGAAGCACGAGCGGCCGCAACCCGUGGCGGGCGGGUCCGGAGCGGCCCCGAGCCCACGUGCGCGGAGCCAGGUGCGCGGCGGCCCCGCCUCCGGGCCGCGCGCCCGACAGUCCCGCCCCGCCCCGCGGGGUAAGGCAACGCCGCCCGGCCGCCGCCCGGGCCGAGCUGCCCACUAUGACAAAGAACAGCAUGUGGGCCGGCGCUGGCUGCAGACUGCCCUGAAUCCUGUCCCGCCUGCCUGAGAGGUGAAAGGAAGACACAUCAGGAUCAGAGUGAAGAUGUGACAUGAGUGACGCUCUGCUCACACGCACACCCGGGAAACAGCAUCUGCUCGCCGAGAGCCUGUGCUUUGCCAGGCAGAGCUGUGGUCUGCAUUUCACGAGCACGUGGAUUCCACACAUCUCAGGAAACUCAAGAACAAUCGGGACCUCAGAUACCAGCUGGUCUUUGAGAACAUGAGGGGGCUCAGCUCCAGUUUCGGAUCUGGGUGGUCUCGAGUCCUUCUCUGCCCACACUUACUGCUCCCCAACACCCAUUAUAAUCACUGAGGCACUGAG